GCUUUAAUCAAAUUAAAAAAAACCUCAAAGGAAUUACAAAGAAAUAAUAAGAAAUCUUAAAGAAAUAUUAGAAUGAUCACAAAUAUAUCUCAAAUUUAUCUCAAUUCAAUCUUAAUUUAAUCCUAGUUAAAAUCCUAUUGGACUUCAUUCAAACUUAAGGCCAAAAACUAACUAAAUCUUAAACCUUAAAAAAAUUCAAAUAAAAUCCUAAAUCCUAAAUCAAAUCCUAAAUCCUAAUGAAAUCCUAACCAGAUCCUAACCCUAAAUCAAAUCCUAACCAGUCUUAAAUCAAAUCUUAAAUCUUAAAUCUUAAAUCAAAUCUUAACCAAAUUCUAAUCCUAAAUCAAAUCCUAAUUAAACUCUAAAUACUAAACCAAAUCUUAAUCCGAAAUCAAAUUCUAACCAAAUCCUAAAUCUUAAAACAAAUCCUAACCAAAUCCUAACCCUAAAUCAAACCCUAACCAAAUUCUAAACCAAACUCUAAACCCUAAACCAAAUCUUAGUAAUUUCUAUAACAAAUUUAUACCUCAAUUACUAAUAAAUGAAUCAAUGAUCUUAAUUCAAAAUUUGUAUUCUUUUUAAAAAUUAAGUUGACAACAAAUAUAAAAAAAUUUGAAAAUGAUUGGAAUUUCCAAAUAGACGAUAGCCUCAAAAACAUACUUGGAUAUUGGAAGGCCUCCUUCUCCGACCUUGAUGCCAAUCUCCCAGAGCCAAUAUCUCUCCUUUUCACUAUUCAAUUGAUUUUAAAAUUCUCAUACACAUAGGAAAUCAAGUCUAAUAUUUUUUCACAUAAAUUUCACUCCAACCCAACAAUUAGAUUGCAAUAAAUCUUUAAAACCCUCACUAAAUCUAAAAUUCUACUUUUUGAGACCUUGACCCACUUAAACCUCAAUAACCCUCAAUUCAACUAUUAGAUCGAGCUAAGAUUCAUAACACAUAUUAAGCACA
rnacentral:lncRNA from 1 species